rnacentral:rRNA from 1 species
CAGCAGCCGCGGUAAUACGAGGGGGGCAAGCGUUGUUCGGAAUUAUUGGGCGUAAAGGGUGCGUAGGCGGUCUGAUAAGUCUUAUGUGAAAUCUAUGGGCUCAACCCAUAGUCUGCAUAGGAAACUGUCGGGCUUGAGAGUGGGAGAGGUGAGUGGAAUUUCCGGUGUAGCGGCGAAAUGCGUAGAUAUCGGAAGGAACACCUGUGGCGAAAGCGGCUCACUGGACCAUUUCUGACGCUGAUGCACGAAAGCUAGGGGAGCAAACAGGAUUAGAUACCCCCGUAGUCCCUGUCUCUUAUAC